rnacentral:rRNA from 1 species
GAUCCUGGCUCAGGAUGAACGCUAGCUACAGGCUUAACACAUGCAAGUCGAGGGGAAACGACAUCGAAAGCUUGCUUUUGAUGGGCGUCGACCGGCGCACGGGUGAGUAACGCGUAUCCAACCUGCCCACCACUUGGGGAUAACCUUGCGAAAGUAAGACUAAUGCCCAAUGACAUUUAUAGAAGGCAUCUGAAAUGAAUUAAAGAUUUAUCGGUGAUGGAUGGGGAUGCGUCUGAUUAGCUUGUUGGCGGGGUAACGGCCCACCAAGGCGACGAUCAGUAGGGGUUCUGAGAGGAAGGUCCCCCACAUUGGAACUGAGACACGGUCCAAACUCCUACGGGAGGCAGCAGUGAGGAAUAUUGGUCAAUGGGCGAGAGCCUGAACCAGCCAAGUAGCGUGCAGGACGACGGCCCUAUGGGUUGUAAACUGCUUUUAUAAGGGAAUAAAGUUAGUCUCGUGAGACUUUUUGCAUGUACCUUAUGAAUAAGGACCGGCUAAUUCCGUG